AAUCCAUGUUAAGGGCAGUGUUGAAUCAAAUGUUUAUACCUUUCUUAUGCUUCAUAGAGUGAUUCAAAAUCAUUUUUCUUAAAUUGACCAAUCUCACUCCUGAGUUG